AGUUAGAACGCUCGUAGUCGGAUUUCGGGGCGGUCCGACCGGUCUGCCGAUGGGUACGCACUGGUCGGGUUGUCCUUUUUGUUGGAGACCGUGCCUACUCUUAACUGAGCGGGUGCGGGAGACGGCACUUUUACUUUGAAAAAAUCAGAGUGUUUCAAGCAGGCAGCUCGCUCUUGCAUGGAUUAGCAUGGGAUAAUGAAAUAGGACUUUGGUGCUAUUUUGUUGGUUUCGAACACCGAAGUAAUGAUGAGAAGGGACAGUCAGGGGCACUCGUAUUCCGCCGAGAGAGGUGAAAUUCUCAGACCAGCGGAAGACGAACCACUGCGAAAGCAUUUGCCAGGGAUGUUUUCACUGAUCAAGAACGAAAGUUAGGGGAUCGAAGACGAUCAGAUACCGUCGUAGUCUUAACCAUAAACCAUACCGACUAGGGAUUGGAGGAUGUUCACUACUUGACUCUUUCAGCACCUUACGGGAAACUAAAGUCUUUGGGUUCCGGGGGGAGUAUGGUCGCAAGGCUGAAACUUAAAGGAAUUGACGGAAGGGCACCACCAGGUGUGGAGCCUGCGGCUU
rnacentral:rRNA from 1 species